GGCGUCUUGAUUCAACCUGGCUCAGGACGAACGCUGGCGGCGUGCCUAAUACAUGCAAGUCGAACGCUUCUUUCCUCCCGAGUGCUUGCACUCAAUUGGAAAGAGGAGUGGCGGACGGGUGAGUAACACGUGGGUAACCUACCCAUCAGAGGGGGAUAACACUUGGAAACAGGUGCUAAUACCGCAUAACAGUUUAUGCCGCAUGGCAUAAGAGUGAAAGGCGCUUUCGGGUGUCGCUGAUGGAUGGACCCGCGGUGCAUUAGCUAGUUGGUGAGGUAACGGCUCACCAAGGCCACGAUGCAUAGCCGACCUGAGAGGGUGAUCGGCCACACUGGGACUGAGACACGGCCCAGACUCCUACGGGAGGCAGCAGUAGGGAAUCUUCGGCAAUGGACGAAAGUCUGACCGAGCAACGCCGCGUGAGUGAAGAAGGUUUUCGGAUCGUAAAACUCCACGGCUAACUACGUGCCAGCAGCCGCGGUAAUACGUAGGUGGCAAGCGUUGUCCGGAUUUAUUGGGCGUAAAGCGAGCGCAGGCGGUUUCUUAAGUCUGAUGUGAAAGCCCCCGGCUUAACCGGGGAGGGUCAUUGGAAACUGGGAGACUUGAGUGCAGAAGAGGAGAGUGGAAUUCCAUGUGUAGCGGUGAAAUGCGUAGAUAUAUGGAGGAACACCAGUGGCGAAGGCGGCUCUCUGGUCUGUAACUGACGCUGAGGCUCGAAAGCGUGGGGAGCAAACAGGAUUAGAUACCCUGGUAGUCCACGCCGUAAACGAUGAGUGCUAAGUGUUGGAGGGUUUCCGCCCUUCAGUGCUGCAGCAAACGCAUUAAGCACUCCGCCUGGGGAGUACGACCGCAAGGUUGAAACUCAAAGGAAUUGACGGGGGCCCGCACAAGCGGUGGAGCAUGUGGUUUAAUUC
rnacentral:rRNA from 1 species